rnacentral:rRNA from 1 species
GACAGAGGCCCCAAGCGUUAGGCGGAAUCACUGGGCUUAAAGCGUGUGUAGGCGGAUCGUUAAGUGUCUUGUGAAAUCCCACGGCUCACCCGUGGAACUGCUGGGCAUACUGGCGAUCUUGGGCCAACUAGGGGCAGUCGGAACAAGCGGUGGAGCGGUGAAAUGCGUAGAUAUCCACAGGAACUCCGGUGGCGAAGGCGGCGUGCUGGACCGCUUCUGACGCUGAGGCGCGAAAGCCAGGGGAGCAAACGGG